rnacentral:rRNA from 1 species
GACGAACGCUGGCGGCGUGCUUAACACAUGCAAGUCGAACGGAAAGGCCCUGCUUUUGUGGGGUGCUCGAGUGGCGAACGGGUGAGUAACACGUGAGUAACCUGCCCUUGACUUUGGGAUAACUUCAGGAAACUGGGGCUAAUACCGGAUAGGAGCUCCUGCUGCAUGGUGGGGGUUGGAAAGUUUCGGCGGUUGGGGAUGGACUCGCGGCUUAUCAGCUUGUUGGUAAGGUAGUGGCUUACCAAGGCUUUGACGGGUAGCCGGCCUGAGAGGGUGACCGGCCAGACGAGAACGGAGACGAGGGCCAGAGGACUACGGGAGGCAGAAGUAGGGAAGCGGCAGCAAUGGGCGGAAGCAUGACGGAGACACGCCGAGUGAGGGACGAAGGUCUGCGGAUCGUAAAACGGGGUUAUUAGGGAAGAACAUAUGUGUAAGGAACUGUGCACAGCUGGAAGGGACGUAAUCAGAAAGGCACGGCGAACUAUGUG